rfam:Ipomoea nil DNA, scaffold: scaffold3025, cultivar: Tokyo-kokei standard.
GGGGGUGCAGUGAGGAUGCAAUUAAUGUGGACUAGAGUUUCUGAUCUUCUGGUUGAAGACAAACCCUUGGCUGUCUGAGCACAUCC